rnacentral:rRNA from 1 species
AGUAACCUGCCUUGGAGUGGGGAAUAACACAGUGAAAAUUGUUGCUAAUACCGCAUAAUGCAUUUGGAUCGCAUGGUUCUGAAUGCCAAAGAUUUAUCGCUCUGAGAUGGACUCGCGUCUGAUUAGCUAGUUGGCGGGGCAACGGCCCACCAAGGCGACGAUCAGUAGCCGGACUGAGAGGUUGGCCGGCCACAUUGGGACUGAGACACGGCCCAG